UGGGGAAUAUCGGACAAUGGGGGCAACCCUGAUCCAGCAAUGCCGCGUGUGUGAAGAAGGUCUUCGGAUUGUAAAGCACUUUCGACGGGGACGAUGAUGACGGUACCCGUAGAAGAAGCCCCGGCUAACUUCGUGCCAGCAGCCGCGGUAAUACGAAGGGGGCUAGCGUUGCUCGGAAUGACUGGGCGUAAAGGGCGUGUAGGCGGUUUACACAGUCAGAUGUGAAAUCCCCGGGCUUAACCUGGGAGCUGCAUUUGAUACGUGUAGACUAGAGUGUGAGAGAGGGUUGUGGAAUUCCCAGUGUAGAGGUGAAAUUCGUAGAUAUUGGGAAGAACACCGGUGGCGAAGGCGGCAACCUGGCUCAUGACUGACGCUGAGGCGCGAAAAGCGUGGGGAGCAAACAGGAUUAGAUACCCUGGUAGUCCACGCUGUAAACGAUGUGUGCUAGAUGUUGGGUAACUUUGUUAUUCAGUGUCGCAGUUAACGCGUUAAGCACACCGCCUG
rnacentral:rRNA from 1 species